UACGUAGGGGGCAAGCGUUGUCCGGAUUUAUUGGGCGUAAAGAGCGUGUAGGCGGUCAGGUAGGUCCGUUGUGAAAACUCGAGGCUCAACCUCGAGACGCCGAUGGAAACCAUCUGACUAGAGUCCGGGAAGAGGAGAGUGGAAUUCCUGGUGUAGCGGUGAAAUGCGCAGAUAUCAGGAAGAACACCCGUGGCUAAGGCGGCUCUCUAGUACGGUACUGACGCUGAGACGCGAAAGCGUGGGGAGCGAACAGG
rnacentral:rRNA from 1 species